rnacentral:rRNA from 1 species
UACGGGGGGGGCAAGCGUUGUUCGGAAUUACUGGGCGUAAAGGGCUCGUAGGUGGCCAACUAAGUCAGACGUGAAAUCCCUCGGCUUAACCGGGGAACUGCGUCUGAUACUGGAUGGCUUGAGAUUGGGAGAGGGACGCGGAAUUCCAGGUGUAGCGGUGAAAUGCGUAGAUAUCGGGAGGAAUACCAGUGGCGAAGGCGGCUUCUUGGCCUGUUCUUGACGCUGAGGCGCGAAAGCUGGGGGAGCAAACGGG